rnacentral:rRNA from 1 species
UUGACGGGGGCCCGCACAGGCGGUGGAGCACGUGGUUUAAUUCGAUGCAAACCGAAGAACCUUACCUGGGUUUGACAUGUACGUGUUACUGAGGUGAAAGCUGAGGGACCACAUCUUCGGAUGUGGAGCGUACACAGGUGCUGCAUGGUUGUCGUCAGCUCGUGCCGUGAGGUGUCGGGUUAAGUCCCAUAACGAGCGCAACCCCUACCUUUAGUUGCCAUCAGGUUAAGCUGGGGACUCUAAAGGAACUGCCUACGCAAGUAGUGAGGAAGGCGGGGAUGACGUCAAAUCAGCACGGCCCUUACGUCCAGGGCUACACACGUGCUACAAUGGCCGAUACAGAGGGCAGCUACCUGGUGACAGGAUGCAAAUCUCCAAAGUCGGUCUCAGUUCGGAUCGGAGUCUGCAACCCGACUCCGUGAAGUUGGAUUCGCUAGUAAUCGCGCAUCAGCCAUGGCGCGGUGAAUACGUUCCCGGGCCUU